UAAGAUUGGUCAAAAACUAAGGGAGCGUUUCUUUGGUUUAUUUGUAGAAAUCAAUUAUAUUGAUCAAAAAAUUUUGUUAUAGUGCUAUUAUGCUAUUUGAUUACAUACUUUCUAAACUAAGAGUUCAUAGAGUACAUUUGGUCCGCCCCAAAGAUUUCCAGGUUUACCAACCUGUAUUAUUCUAUUAAUGAUGGUAAAUGCUCGACAUAAGUGUAUGGCUUUACUAGCCCAGUUUGCUGCCUAAUCUAAAUACUCUAUAAUCUGUCCUAGCUUGUUUUCUAACAUGGAACGAAAAAAUCUUUUUUUUUAACUUAGUAGUAAGUAUUAGGGCAAAGAAAAACUCUAAUAGAAUCUCACUAAGGGUAACUCGGUUCAAGUGUAAGUCCCAGUUUACUACAUUUGAUAUGUGCUCUGUUGAUCUCCUGUUGUGCCUUUUUUUUCCUUUCUUCUUUUUCCUUUGUGCCUGAAUGUUACCAGGCACAAAGGAAAAUGCCUGUAGAAAUUCCCCAUAGCCUUAAGCAAUGGUUAAUUUUGUCAGCUGAACUGAAGCUUGAUAACUAGCUUGACAAGCUGGUUUCCAUCAGACUUGCAGGUUGGCGUGAUUUGAAAGGUUUCUGCUUUUUUUUUUCCUGAUGAUUAUCUCUGUUACUAUCAGCCUUUUCACCCUGCCCUUUGGAGCUGACAUCAGAUUACGUAGUUUGAAUGUUAACUCUGAUCCUACAUCAAAUUUGCCAGUGUAACAUGGCAAAUUUGUUUAUAUCCCGAUUUGCCUGCACAUCCCUUGGGAUUACAAAAUCCACUCAGUGUCAGUGUCGAUAGUUCUCAGUUUCUCAGCCACUUCUUUUAAAUCAGUUAGAUGAGACUUCUGAAGGCUUGGAAGUUUAAAGCUUUCCAUACUUGCUGGACCAUAAAGUUUUUCAGGGUAAGAUAACAGUGUUUCACCCGGUCUUUCCAAAGCAGGGGGGAAGGAAAGCUUAUUUAGGUUAUGUCUGUUGGUGUUGCUGGUCCUGUUGUGAUCUGCCAGCGGUGUUGAGGCACUUAAUGUUUACAAUUGUCGUCUCAAGAUCUAUGGGUCGAGUCCCUUCCUUGUCAAUGGACUGCAUUAGAAAACUAGGCCCCCAUGCAAUAUACGCUUCAACAUCACCUGAGAAAUCAGGAGGCUGUCAGCUCAUAAGACUGUUUAAUUUGUCCCUUUCCCACAUAUUUUCCUUUUGUUUUCUCCAUUAUUUUCUUACAGGGAUUUUUCACUUUCAAGGUUUAUUUCACUUUGACAGGUUUCUCAUACCACUUCCCUGAAGGUGAGGCAUUGUAUUACAUGAGCAAAGUAUUGUUUGAGGUUGGAGCCAGUAAAUGAAAGGAAAAUAUUAGUGUCAUGUUUGGAGGACUUCUUUGUAAUAGCAUGGUAUAAAGUCUGUUGAAGUGAACAGCCUUUAAGGAAGAAAAUUAACAAACCUAGUGGAUGUGUUCUCAUUAGAUGGUCAUGUGUUUGCUGUGCAGGAAUUAAAUAAAUUGCUUAUCAAAUCUUCUGAGUUCAGUCAGAGAAGGAAAACUGUGUUUUUGGUUAGCUAAUGAAAAUCUGUUUAAAAUCUUCAGUGCAAUGCUGAGCAGAACUAACUGUGCAAGUUAACUACCAGCUUACUUUUAAACAGUUAAAUGUCAUGUGGUGACAAUCCUGAAAAAUUAGCUUUCAUGGAGCGCAGAAAUAUCUGUUGUUGGAUUUUCAUGCAUGGCUAAGUUUCAAACCAUCACACGGCUUCAUUAAUAAUGGUUGGCUUGGUGCUCUGCUAAAGUUAAGAUGCUUCUGUCUCCUAAUGCAAUAGGAGCUAGGAAUCCCGCGUGCAAUUUGAACUCCAUUACACCAGGAUCUCUUCAGAGGUGCUGCUAAAUUCUUAAGUAGUCUGUAUAUGAGACUGUAACUUUUUCCAUAAACUGAUUUUUGUUUCAGCUGAUUAAUACUUCAUCCAGGUAGUGUCAAUUUAAGCUGUUCUUCUAGUUAUUUUCUGAAAGUAUUUUUGAAGGUUUUGCAUUAUAAAGGAUUUGAUACAUGGCACACUUGAGGAUUUUUUCUGCUUUACCCAGUUCUGAGAUCAAAUAUGCAGCCUAUGGAUUCGAUCAAGCCUGAAGAUUAUAGUUUUUAAUUGUAAUUCUGGAAAUAAGUUUGGCUUUAUUUCUGCAUAGAAAGUCAUGACAUUUCUGUCAUGCAAUUAAACACAUUCACUAUUUUAUUCUACAGUUCCUUGUACUCUUUGAAAAAUGUUGAUUACACAAUGUGUUCUUUAAUAUUUUUUUCCAUAAUAUAUGCCCGACUAAGAACCAUUUAAGAGGAAUUAUUUUCUGUAGUAAUUUCUAAAGUUUUAUGUUAUGAAUAGGAUGGUCCUUACCCUAAAGCAGCCAGGAGGUAAGCAAUUAAAAGAGAAAGGCUGUAAAAUGUUAACAUUUACUGUGAAACAUUUGCCUUGUUGAACAGUGAUCACAGCGUUAAAUAUUUUUUAUAACAGCAAUUUUUUAGUUGCCGAUUCAAUAGGAAAGACUAAUGAAAGAAGCAUUCAUUAAUUAAGGAGUAAGAGAAAGACCCUGCUAUACUGAAGUUGAGCAACAGAAUGUUAUCAGCAAUGCAGAGGCUCUGAACUUUUUGUUUUGCAUUAAGAGUGCAGAAGAACAUUAUCAGAGCUAAGACAGGAAGGUCAAGAAUUCUGCUAAACUGGAGAAAAAGUCCUCAGGAAUUAAAUUGCACAGCAAAUACGUCUUAGCAGAGAUACUUCUUCCCAUGUCUAACUUUCUUUUUUCCUCCGAAAUGAUAAAAUCUCACUUAUUCAAUCCCCCCAAAUAGGCCUUUAGAUGUUACAAAGCCCUGACUCUGUUGGAAGUGCUGCAUUGGUACUUUUUGUUUAAGGUUAGCCCGGUGACAUUAAUUGCCACAAGUAACACAUGUGGUAGGUGCGGUCAUUUACUCCAAGUGGUUCAUAAAUAUUUCUCUUCAGUUUGAGAAUUACACUGGUUACGUGUACUUAAAUGCUGUACAUUGCCACUGGUGCAAUUGCUGUAGUUUAUACCAGAAAGAGAAGUAUUCUGGGAUCAAGGACUUCUCUUGUACUCAUAGGACUUUCCUAAGUAUCUAGCUGUAGUUCAGUACAUGGCUGUACAUGUUGCAAGAAGUGAUAUAAUCAUCAUUGUCAUUUUGUCAUUCUUCAGGUCAUGAAGCAUAAAAUUUUGAGGCGAUGCUAUUUCUAUGAAAGUUGUCACUUGCUCCUUUAAUGAAGCAGUGUGCUUCCAUCAGCUUGUGUCCCACAAAUGGACCUAAGGAGACAAAUGUGGCAGAUGGUGGUCACCCCACGAACUAGGACAACAUCUACCUCGUGAGAAGGGGGUGUUUUUCCGCCACCAUCACCUCAGUGCAGUGCACACUCAUGGAAAGGAUUGCUUGUUGCAGUCUUUCAAGGCAGGAAGAAACAUGUUGUGUGAUGCUGGCCAUCUAUCUGUGAACUCUUCACGGUCUCUAACCCUCUCCAGACUUCAAGAAAUCCCAGAAUCGUUUAGGUUGGAAAAGACCCUGAUGAUCAUUGAGUCCAACCAUAAACCUAAUGCUGCCAAGUCAUCACUAAGCCAUGUUGUUAAGCACCACAUCUACACGUCUUUUACGCACCUCC